CAACAGUGGAUCGACCCUAGAGGUAAUGCUAUACGAAGCCGACUCAUUGACGGGGUUAAGCAAGCUCACAGCAUUAUUCCGAAGUGGAAAAAUGCAGGUAAUCUCAUUGGUCUCAACCUAGAGACCGUUGCAGAAAUCACACUUCAAAGAACAGAUGCUAUACAUGAUUUUAGCUCGGACAAACCGAGAUGCGAU
rnacentral:snRNA from 1 species